CAAGCCCUUAAGCUUUUUUCCUGGAAAAUACACAAGCUCCCCAAGCGUUUUUUGGGAAAAAACACGUCAUAGGUUCUACUGCGACUUGUGUUUCUUUCUCCCAGGCAUGCCCUCAACCUCGGCAAAAUAAACUUCUGAUUGAUUGAGAUCCGCUUCCAUCACUUUUUGGUCUACUGAAGGAGCAACACACCUGUCCAUCAAUAGGACUAGAGACUUUUUAAAAGUACCUCAUGUACGCAGGGAAAUCCGAAAACUACUGUGGGAACAAUAGUGAAAAAGCAUGGCUGUGGCAUGAAGACACUUAGAGUCUGGACAGUCUAGCACAGAACUGUUUGGAUUAUGGAGUAGAUGCCUUCAGUUUCCUGUCGACAACCUUCAGAUCUUAUCAUUUCUGUGUCCACUGGCCUACUUUCAGCUGCACGUAUCUGCAUCACUUCGCUGGAGAAUGUUCUCCAAAGCUGCUGAUGUCCUUACUGCUUCACUGCCCAUGUACAUGGUGGUCUGAAAAUGACAAGAAAAGAAUGCCCAUAAAGAAAGGCCUCAAUCAAUGAUUGAAGGAAUUGGCAUGUAAUAAAUGUCUUGCUCCUCAAUUGGGGUAACUCUUG
rnacentral:lncRNA from 13 species